UGAGUAACACGUAUCCAACCUGCCGUCUACUCUUGGACAGCCUUCUGAAAGGAAGAUUAAUACAAGAUGGCAUCAUGAGUCCGCAUGUUCACAUGAUUAAAGGUAUUCCGGUAGACGAUGGGGAUGCGUUCCAUUAGAUAGUAGGCGGGGUACCGGCCCACCUAGUCUUCGAUGGAUAGGGGUUCUGAGAGGAAGGUCCCCCACAUUGGAACUGAGACACGGUCCAA
rnacentral:rRNA from 1 species